rnacentral:rRNA from 1 species
GGAUUAGAUACCCUGGUAGUCCACACCGUAAACGAUGAAUGCUAGAUAUACGACUAAUUGCAUGUUGUGUGUCGCAGCUAACGCAUUAAGCAUUCCGCCUGGGGAGUACGGUCGCAAGAUUAAAACUCAAAGGAAUUGACGGGGGCCCGCACAAGCGGUGGAGUAUGUGGUUUAAUUCGACGCAACGCGCAGAACCUUACCCAGUCUUGACAUCCUUUGCUCGCCAUAGAGAUAUGGUUUCCUCCUUCACGGGAGGCAGAGUGACAGGUGCUGCAUGGCUGUCGUCAGCUCGUGCCG